rnacentral:rRNA from 1 species
UACGGAGGGUGCAAGCGUUAUCCGGAUUCACUGGGUUUAAAGGGUGCGUAGGUGGGUUGGUAAGUCAGUGGUGAAAUCUCCGAGCUUAACUUGGAAACUGCCAUUGACACUAUCAGUCUUGAAUAUUGUGGAGGUCAGCGGAAUAUGUCAUGUAGCGGUGAAAUGCUUAGAUAUGACAUAGAACACCAAUUGCGAAGGCAGCUGGCUACACAUAUAUUGACACUGAGGCACGAAAGCGUGGGGAUCAAACAGG